GGCGAAAUGGCCGAGUGGUCUAAGGCGCUAGAAUCAGGUGAAUCACCAAUCUAGUCUUUCGGGGCGUGGGUUCGAAUCCCACUUUCGUCA